rnacentral:rRNA from 1 species
GACGAACUGUCCAAACGUUGUUCGGAUUCAUUGGGCGUAAAGGGUGCGUAGGCGGCGCGGUAAGUCGGGUGUGAAAUCUUGGAGCUUAACUCCGAAACUGCAUUCGAUACUGCCGUGCUUGAGGACUGGAGAGGAGACUGGAAUUUACGGUGUAGCGGUGAAAUGCGUAGAUAUCGUAAGGAAGACCAGUGGCGAAGGCGGGUCUCUGGACAGUUCCUGACGCUGAGGCACGAAGGCCAGGGGAGCAAACGGG